AUACUUACCUGGCAGGGGAGACACCCUGAUCUCGAAGGCAGUUUUCCCAGAGCAAGGCUUAUCCAUUGUACUCUGGAUGAUCGGACCCUUGUGAUUUCUCCAAAUGUAGGAAACUCAACUGCAAAAUUUGUGGCAAAGGGGACUGCAUUUUCAAAAACCAAACAUCCCAA